AGCAAGGUGGCUGAUUUUAGGCCUUAAACUGUAAAUUUAAUUACGAGGUUUCCUCUCUUGUUA
rnacentral:tRNA from 1 species